rnacentral:rRNA from 1 species
UAUGUGAUCGUCUCUCGCAUAUCAAUAAGCGGAGGAAAAGAAACUAACAAGGAUUCCCCUAGUAACGGCGAGUGAAGCGGGAAGAGCUCAAAUUUGAAAUCUUAAAGGGUUUCCCUUUACGAAUUGUAGUUUAAAGAAGUGUUUUCUGUUGAGGUUUUGGUAAAAGUUCUUUGGAAUAGGACAUCAUAGAGGGUGAGAAUCCCGUAUUUGACCUUUACUUUCAACUUUGUGAUACACUUUCAAAGAGUCGGAUUGUUUGGGAAUGCAGUCCAAAAUGGGUGGUAAAUUUCAUCUAAAGCUAAAUAUUGGCGAGAGACCGAUAGCGAACAAGUACCGUGAGGGAAAGAUGAAAAGAACUUUGAAAAGAGAGUUAAACAGUACGUGAAAUUGUCAAAAGGGAAGCGUUUGACACCAGUGUUGUUUUUCUGAAAAUCAAUUAAAGAACUGUUUAUGCUAAGCUUGUUUAGACUUUAUCAGCUAUCUGUUUAGUUUUGAGCUUUUCUUUAAUGCACUUUUCAGUUAACAAGUCAACAUCAAUUUCUUUUGCUGUAAAAAAGCUUGAGGAAGGUGGCUUGAGAUUCGUCUUAAGUGUUUAUAGCCUCUUGCCUAUGCAGUCGGAGAGAUUGAGGUCUGCAGCGUAGAUCCUUCGGGGCUAAAUGCAUUUGUGCUAAGUUAUAGCAUUUUAUAGACAACUUGUUGACUAUGAUUUGUCUUGUAGCUUACUCGCUUAUGUUAUUUUACCUACGCUUAGGAUGUUGAUCUACAGAGCGAGAGU